rnacentral:lncRNA from 1 species
GCUGUCAUGGGAUCUCAAAGUGAAGAGUUUAGCGAAGUAAAUGUACUAGAGGGAUUUGUAGAAGAAGCCACCCCUACCAUACCCUCACAAGACCUUCUAUAAGCCUAUCUAGCUCAUUUUAAUAUAGACAACUUUGACAUAGAUGGGUACAUGGAAGAAGUGCAUGUCCUAUUAGAGCCAACCAUUUCUGCUCCUCCAUGGAUCAAAAAAUAUGAGCAAAUGCCC